AUUGAACGCUGGCGGCAGGCCUAACACAUGCAAGUCGAGCGAGGCGCGGACGGGUGAGUAAUGUGUGGGGAUCUGCCCGAUAGAGGGGGAUCACUACUGGAAACGGUGGCUAAUACCGCAUACUAUCGGAUGCACACAUAUGGGAUUAGCUAGUAGGUGGGGGAAAGGCGCACCUAGGCGACGAUCUCUAGCUGGUCUGAGAGGAUGAACAGCCACACUGGAACUGAGACACGGUCCAGACUCCUACGGGAGGCAGCAGUGGGGAAUAUUGCACAAUGGGCGCAAGCCUGAUGCAGCCAUGCCGCGUGUAUGAAGAAGGCCUUCGGGUUGUAAAGUACUUUCAGCGGGGAGGCGUUACCCGCAGAAGAAGCACCGGCUAACUCCGUGCCAGCAGCCGCGGUAAUAC
rnacentral:rRNA from 1 species